GACGAACGCUGGCGGCGUGCUUAACACAUGCAAGUCGAACGGAAAGGCCCUGCUUUUGUGGUGUGCUCGAGUCGCGAACGGGUGAGUAACACGUGAGUCACCUGCCCUUGACUUUGGGAUAACUUCAGGAAACUGGGGCUUAUACCGGAUAGGCGCUCCUGCUGCAUGGUGGGGGUUGGAAAGUUUCGGCGGUUGGGGAUGGACUCGCGGCUUAUCAGUUUGUUGGUGGGGUAGUGGCUUACCAAGGCUUUGACGGGUAGCCGGCCUGAGAGGGUGACGGGCAACAUUGGGACGGGGAUACGGCCAGGACUCCUACGGGAGGCAGCGGUGGGGAAUAUUGCACAAUGGGCGGAGGCCUAAUGCAGCAACGCCGCGUGCGGGAUGACGGCCUUCGGGUUGUAAACCGCUUUCGCCUGUGACGAAGCGUGAGUGACGGUAAUGGGUAAAGAAGCACCGGCUAACUACGUG
rnacentral:rRNA from 1 species